UACAGAGGUCCCAAGCGUUGUUCGGAUUCACUGGGCGUAAAGGGUGCGUAGGUGGUCAGGUAAGUCCGAUGUGAAAUCUCCAGGCUCAACCUGGAAAUGGCAUUGGAUACUAUUUGGCUUGAGGAGUGGAGGGGGGACUGGAAUUCUCGGUGUAGCAGUGAAAUGCGUAGAUAUCAAGUGGAACACCAGUGGCGAAGGCGAGUCCCUGGACAACUCCUGACACUGAGGCACGAAAGCUAGGGGAGCAAACAGG
rnacentral:rRNA from 1 species